CCUUCGGGACGUCGCGAACUGCACCGGAGUGCAAUUCGUGAUCGUCGUCCGCUUUAAAGAACUAUAUUUGGGCGUUCGACGGCCAAAGAGCCCCCACACCCGCAUAGUGUUCCGCAUCCGAGAGAACUUGCAGCCGCUCAUGGACCGUGACAAACACGACAUACGUCGAGAAAUGUCCGGGACACAAGGACUGCUUCGAGGUCCACCCUGCGACC
rnacentral:misc_RNA from 1 species